rnacentral:rRNA from 1 species
UACGUAGGGUGCGAGCGUUAAUCGGAAUUACUGGACGUAAAGCGUGCGCAGGCGGUUCGUUGUGUCGGCGGUGAAAGCCCCGGGCUAACCUGGGAAUGGCCGUCGAAACUGGCGAACUGGAGUGUGGCAGAGGGGGGGUGGAAUUCCGCGUGUAGCAGUGAAAUGCGUAGAGAUGCGGAGGAACACCGAUGGCGAAGGCGGCCCACUGGAUCGGUACUGACGCUGAGGUGCGAAAGCGUGGGGAGCAAACAGG